UACGAAGGGGGCUAGCGUUGCUCGGAAUUACUGGGCGUAAAGAGCGCGUAGGCGGCCCUGUAAGUCCGCUGUGAAAGUCAAGGGCUCAACCCUUGAAUGCCGGUGGAUACUGCAGGGCUAGAGUCCGGAAGAGGCGAGUGGAAUUCCUGGUGUAGCGGUGAAAUGCGCAGAUAUCAGGAGGAACACCAAUUGCGAAGGCAGCUCGCUGGGACGUUACUGACGCUGAGACGCGAAAGCGUGGGGAGCAAACAGG
rnacentral:rRNA from 1 species